AGCAGAUGAUAUGGACUGAAGUCGAUUAAUUCAUUAACUAGAAAGUGAAGUUUUGAAGUGCAAAAUGCUAAAAAAAUGAUAAGAAGAAUUUCAUUUAUGAAUUGAGUAUACGUACUUGUCCUUUGAAUCCAUUUCAAAACCUCAUAAUAUUGAACAAAAUUAGAAGGGUUGUUGUUGUGAUCCUUGGUCGAUCUUGAGAAAAACACAGAAACUACGAUUGAUCUGUGGUGGGAGGGUUUUGAAGCUUGUCAUGAGUAACCCUAGAGAGUGAUGGUGGUGGUGGUGGAGCAAGGAUGAGUUGAGUUUGGUUGAGAGAUUUUGUUGCUGAUCCUUCAUAUUUUUUGUUGUUGUUUUGGAUUUUCUCCCUUUCUGCUUGCCUGUAUUUAUGCAAAUACCUUGCUAUGGCCUCAGCAUAGUUGUCAAACCCUAAGGAACUUAGAGCCCAACAGAUGUCAUCCCCAUUAACGGUCUUGCGAUUCUCCUUGUGACACUUGUCAGAUGCCUCACCAGUCACAAAACUUAUGAACUCUGUAACACACUCUUGCAUUAGUUGUUUCCCUUCCUUGGAGAUCUUUGCACUUGGAGGAAGAUUUUGCUUCAUGAUUCUACCCACAUUUGCAAUGGGCAAAGCUUUAUCUUGCUCCUCCUGAUCCAUUUCCUAUAAAAUCAGAUAGAUAGCUAGAUAGAUAGAUACUGUGC
rnacentral:sRNA from 1 species